CUGGGAACUGCGUUUGUGACUGCAAGGCUAGAGUACGGCAGAGGGGGGUGGAAUUCCACGUGUAGCAGUGAAAUGCGUAGAGAUGUGGAGGAACACCAAUGGCGAAGGCAGCCCCCUGGGUCGAUACUGACGCUCAUGCACGAAAGCGUGGGUAGCAAACAGGAUUAGAUACCCUGGUAGUCCACGCCCUAAACGAUGUCAACUAGGUGUUGGGUGGGUAAAACCAUUUAGUACCGGAGCUAACGCGUGAAGUUGACCGCCUGGGGAGUACGGCCGCAAGGUUAAAACUCAAAGGAAUUGACGGGGACCCGCACAAGCGGUGGAUGAUGUGGAUUAAUUCGAUGCAACGCGAAAAACCUUCCUACCCUUGACAUGUCCAGAAGCCUGAAGAGAUUUGGGUGUGCCGAAAGGGAACUGGAACACAGGUGCUGCAUGGCUGUCGUCAGCUCGUGUCGUGAGAU
rnacentral:rRNA from 1 species